CACAGCUCCAUUCUGAGGAGGUCGGGAUAGAAUCAUCUGCCUUCCUCUUGGAUCUAAGCCUUGGCUGUGGGAAUUGAAACGGAUCCGGUUGAGUCCACUGUCCCAGCUCACCCCGGAACCCCAGAAGCCCUCAGCUAUUCUCGCCAGUGGCGGCGAUCAGAAGAUGUGGUGGCUCUUGAUACUGCCCGUUAUUCAAACAGGCUUCGUUCUGGCUGACGACACUCUGUACAUAUCCCCGAUAUCCACGAGCCGUCGCGAAAAUGAAACUGUGACGUUGGAUUGCUUCACUUCCAGGAAUCUAGAUGACCAUUUCUUCUUCUGGGGGUCCGCGAAGCCCACGGACCAGUUGAUCUCGUGGAUCCUGUUCUGGACUCCGGGUUUCACGGCGCCGGUGUACUCGGAACCGAGAUCUGACAGGUUCAUUGGUUCCAAAGACUGGACGAGCAAGAAGUUCUCCCUCACUAUUCAGGAUCUACAGCGGGAGGAUUCCGCCAGAUAUUACUGUGGAACCUCCAACUCCUACUUUUCCUUCAGCACCGACUGGAGCGGGUGCGGAGUUACCCUUACUGUAGACGCCGCCCCUCCCCAGUCCCCUCCAGAGGUCUACCUGAAUCAUCCGAGUCCCAAUGAUGUUCUCGAGCAUCAGGAAAUAACUUUGCUCUGCGUGGCCGAGGACUUCUACCCCGAGCCCAUCUCUAUUUCCUGGUGGCUAGAUGGAGAGGAGGUGGACGCGGGGGUUUCACAUUCAGUUUCCCUGCUGGGGCCCAACGCAACCUACACCAAGAUCAGCAAGCUGACGACCAGCACAUCCCAGUGGAUCAAGGGCUCCGUCUACGCCUGUCGCGUUUCUCAUGACACUCUCCCCUCACCCAUCUCCAAACAAGUCAGCAGUGCCGGACAAUACCCGAUGGUGCCCAGGAUUCAUCUUUUACCACCGACCCUUGAAGAAAUGGACAUUAUGGAGCAGGCUACCAUCACCUGCCAGGCAGCGGGCUACUACCCCACUGAAAUCUCCUUCCGCUGGUUUGUUGAUGGCAAUCCGGUGCUCACAGACAUCAAAAACUAUGCAUCCAUUCUGAAUGACAACGGUACCUAUAGCUCCCAGAGCGAACUGGUGACGUCUACAGAGAACUGGAACCAGGGCUCGGUGUACUCAUGCAGAGUUCAACACAUUUCACUGCCGAGUGGGAUGAUCCAAAGCAUUAAGAGGAAGGACACAGAAGAGCAGAAUCGGCGGAGGCCAACAAUCUCCUCCUUCAAAGUGGAGUCGGAGCAGACAGUGACACUCGUCUGCUACGUGUCUGGCUUCUUCCCGGCCGAUAUCUACGUGAGCUGGAGGACGGACCGCGGUGUGCCGGAGAGGAGCGGCGUCACCAACUUCCCGGUGGUGUCGGACUCGAGCGGGACCUACAGCACGGCGAGUCAGAUAACCAUACCCUUGUCGAAUGUGAGCCGUUCGCGAACGUACGUCUGCGUGGUGGGACACGAGUCCCUCUCCUAUCCCGGAGAGAAGCGGUUCCAUCUGGCCUGAGGAUCCCAAGGGCAGAUUUUCCAAUUGCCUGGAAUUCCCGCCGGUCUGAACUGACCCAACUGGAGUGAUAUUUGUACUUGCUUCCAGAAGUUACCCUUCCAGUCCUGAUCGAGAAGUAAUAAACACAGUUAUCCCUCUUUGAUCUACCAAUAUUCUGUUAAUUAAAAGCAGGCACGUAUGCUUAUUGAACUGUUGGCCUUCUGAAUAAAAAACCCCAAAGUGACCUUCCAGAUCCUGCAAGCUUCAAAUAAAUCAAUAACACUUU